UAGUAAAAAUAUAACUUAAAAAAGUAGUCUAAAUUCAGUAUAAAUGCAGACAUGAUAUAGCUUAAUCACAAAUACAUACUAGAAUUAUAUACCAUUAAUACCCUGGUAUUGAG